UACGGGGGGGGCAAGCGUUGUUCGGAAUUACUGGGCGUAAAGGGUUUGUAGGUGGCUUGUUAAGUCAGACGUGAAAUCCCUCAGCUUAACUGGGGAACUGCGUCUGAUACUGGCGAGCUUGAGUGCAGGAGAGGAACGCGGAAUUCCAGGUGUAGCGGUGAAAUGCGUAGAUAUCGGAAGGAACAUCAGUGGCGAAAGCGGCUUCCUGGACCAGUACCGACGUUCAGGCACGAAAGCGUGGGGAGCAAACAGG
rnacentral:rRNA from 1 species